rnacentral:rRNA from 1 species
UACAGAGGGGGCAAGCGUUGUUCGGAAUUACUGGGCGUAAAGGGCGCGUAGGCGGCCUUCUAAGUCGAACGUGAAAUCCCCGGGCUCAACCCGGGAACUGCGUCCGAUACUGGGAGGCUUGAAUCCGGGAGAGGGAUGUGGAAUUCCAGGUGUAGCGGUGAAAUGCGUAGAUAUCUGGAGGAACACCAAUGGCGAAGGCAGCUCGCUGGGACGGUACUGACGCUGAGACGCGAAAGCGUGGGGAGCAAACAGG